rnacentral:lncRNA from 1 species
UGAUUGUGGCCAAGUUUGGUUUAAUUUGGCCCAGUAGUUUCAGAGGAGAAGAUUUUUGUAAAAGUUAACAGACGACGCUGGACGACGACGGACGACGGACGCCAAGUGAUGGGAAAAGCUCACUUGGCCCUUUGGGCCAGGUGAGCUAAAAACGUAUGUGGAAUGAUGUAUACUAGUAUACAAUUCAGUUUAGAUAUAGCAUUCCGAGAAAUCAGUCGGACUAAAACCGCCCCUAACUUUUUUCAAUUACGUAAAUAGUGGGAGCUGGCUUUAGUCAGACUGCUAAAAAGUUGUCAUCGAAUUUUUGAACUAUUACAAAACAUAAAAGAAUAUUUAAUUUGUAGAAAAUGCACGAGUGUUUCGUCUGUAUUGUAAAUGUUGUAGUCACGAGUCGUUCCGAAUUGACAAAUUAAUCACAUCUUAAAUUCAUUAUUUCUCGCGUCCUGACACAUCUGCGCUUGUAAAAUGACUCGUGAGACAUGGCAAUUGUAGCAGUGUCUCUCUGGAACAAAAAUAAAUAUAUAAACGCCAUCCAUUAGGUGUGCUUGCGGAGUAUCAUUUAUGUCAGUUGCUGCAGAGUGGUG